rnacentral:rRNA from 1 species
GAGCACGUAGGUGGGUUUGUAAGUCAGUUGUGAAAGCCUUCUGCUUAACGGAAGAACAGCAUCUGAUACUGCAAGGCUAGAGUGCGGAAGGGGAGAGUGGAACUUCUGGUGGAGCGGUGAAAUGCGUAGAUAUCAGAAGGAACACCGGCGGCGAAGGCGACUCUCUGGUUCGUAACUGACGCUGAGUGUGCGAAAGCUAGGGGAGCAAACGGGAUUAGAUACCCCGGUAGUCCUAGCCGUAAACGAUGGGCACUAAGUAGAGGGGUUU